rnacentral:rRNA from 1 species
CUCUUGUAAAUCUUAGUGGCGAACGGGUGAGUAACGCGUAAACAACCUGCCCAACGGAUGGGGACAACAGACGGAAACGACUGCUAAUACCCAAUAGACUCCGGUUUCGCAUGAAACCGACAGGAAAGGUGGCCUCUCGAAGAAGCUACCGCCGCAGGAGGGGUUUGCGUUUGAUUAGUUAGUUGGUGGGGUAACGGCCUACCAAGACGACGAUCAGUAGGGGUUCUGAGAGGAAGGUCCCCCACAUUGGAACUGAGACACGGUCCAA